AGUGAACGCUGGCGGUAGGCCUAACACAUGCAAGUCGAACGGCAGCACAGUAAGAGCUUGCUCUUACGGGUGGCGAGUGGCGGACGGGUGAGGAAUACAUCGGAAUCUACUUUUUCGUGGGGGAUAACGUAGGGAAACUUACGCUAAUACCGCAUACGACCUACGGGUGAAAGCAGGGGAUCUUCGGACCUUGCGCGAUUGAAUGAGCCGAUGUCGGAUUAGCUAGUUGGCGGGGUAAAGGCCCACCAAGGCGACGAUCCGUAGCUGGUCUGAGAGGAUGAUCAGCCACACUGGAACGGAGACACGGUCCAGACUCCUACGGGAGGCAGCAGUGGGGAAUAUUGGACAAGGGGCGCAAGCCUGAUCCAGCCAUACCGCGUGGGUGAAGAAGGCCUUCGGGUUGGAAAGCCCUUUUGUUGGGAAAGAAAAGCAGCAGGUUAAUACCCCGCUGUUCUGACGGGACCCAAAGAAUAAGCACCGGCUAACGUCG
rnacentral:rRNA from 1 species